rnacentral:lncRNA from 1 species
ACUUUUUUCCCCUUGAUUUUUCGAGACAGGAUUUCCUGGAACUCACUCCGUAGACCAAGCUGGCCUGAAGCUUAGAGAUCCUCCUGCUUCGGCUUCCGAUGGAAUGAAAGGCCAGUACCAGCACCACACAGCCAUGCUUGGGUUCUUAUCCUUUCUGUUUAUCACCUGGAAAGACAUCACUCUGAAGACUCAUUGAAAUUGAACAAGCAAGCCGGGUGGUGAUGGCAGGCCCAGGAACUGGACCUCAGGUCAUCAAGACAUUGCCUGUAUUUUAAUUGUUCCUGGGAAGCAGCUUGGAUAGUCAGAUUCCUACUUCCCUAAGGAGUAAGUAAUAUUGUUUAUUUUCUCAGAUGAUAAGCUAAGACAUAUUGGUUAAAUGCAGCACUUAAAAUGAAAAAGAUGACCACUAGCAGAACUCAAAAAUAGUCUGAGUCACUUCCAUAUUGUAGGAAAGAAAGAAAAAUACACAAACAAACAAACAAAAAAGCAACAGAGGACCAACAAGACGGUGAAUCAGGCAGCUGGAGAGAAGGCACAUCCUGCUCUAGCAGAGGACUGGAGAGAGAGUGAGCGAGCAGCAAGCGUAAUGGACUGUCAAAUGCCAGCAACCUGUUUACUGUGAUCUUUACUCUGUGUGCCUACUGUAGGGCAGCGGGUUCAGAAGGCAGAGGCAAUGGCUCCUGCAGUCUGUGAGUGUGUACUUCAGGGUAG